rnacentral:tRNA from 1 species
GUGGAUAUAGCUUAGUGGUAUAGUGCAUGCCUUGCAUGCACAAGGUCCUGGGUUCAAUUCCCAGUACCUCCA